UUGGAAAGGAGUUCUCCAGAAUCUGCAGUCAAUUUCAUGGAGGAAUCUAAAGGUGUGGAAGCAAAUUUUGUCCCAAUUUCUGGAUGUUCAGCAAUGAGGUCCAGGGCAAAUUUCCUUUGAGUAACAAGUACUCCAUCAGGUACAUGUAGGAAUUCCAUACCUAAGAAGUAAUUAGCAAUCCCCAAAUCCUUAAUUUUGAAUUCUGUGUUGAGAAACAAUUUCAACUCAUCAAUUUCCCUUUGAUUGUUACCCGUCAACAGGAUGUCAUCGACGUAAACAACCAGUAUAGUGACAAGGGUACCUGAAGACUUAGAAAAAAGUGAGUAAUCAUUCAAUGAUGCAACAUAACCUCGUGUACCCAAAGCUGCUGAUAGACGUGCAUACCAUUGGCGCGAGGCCUGCUUAAGUCCAUAAAGAGACUUACGCAGCCUGCAAACAUGCGAGGGAGAUGAAGAAGGCAUGCCCGGAGGAAACCGCAUGUAGACCUCCUCAUUGAGGUCCCCAUGAAGGAAAGCGUUGUUUACAUCAAGCUGAAAAAGAGUCCAAUUGCGUUUAACCGCUAUGCUAAGAAGGCAGCGAAUGGUUGUCAUUUUUACCACAGGUGAGUAGGUUUCAUUGUAGUCGAUCCCUUCUCGUUGUAUGUCUCCACGUACAGCCAAUCGUGCCUUUAAACGUUCCAAACUCCCAUCUGACUUAAGUUUCAUUUUGAACACCCACUUGCAGGGUAAUGACUUCAUUCCAGGUG
rnacentral:lncRNA from 1 species